rnacentral:tRNA from 1 species
ACCUGACUGGCUCAGUCGGUAGAGCACAUGACUCUUGAUCUCAGGCUUGUGAGUUCAAGUCCCAUGCUGGGUG